CCACCCCUGUCUUCUUUCACCAUUUUCUUCCCCCAAAUUAGGAAUUGAACACCAAAAACCCUAGCCCCUCUCUCUCUUCCUUCUCGGCGAAGACGCCGAUCUACCGGCCGUCGUUCACCGCCGCCUCCGGCAAUACCUCUCUCUCUACGUCUCUCUCUGAUUCUUUCUCCCUCUUCUCUUUCUUUCUUUUCAAACUAAAUAAAUCCCAAAUUGAGAAAAGUGAAACCCUAGCUUGCGAUGGAAUCCGAAUUCCCCCCCCCCCUUCGCUGCCCGUCGACACUACGCCGGAAGGCUCUGACGCCUCGGCGGGAUCCACCGUCCGUCGGCUCGCUCUCGCGACGACAGGCGAAUAGCAGCGCCGUGCGCUCCGUCUCCCUGGUUUCGCUCCGAGACCGUCGCCGUCCAGUCCGCCACCUCGGAGUCCUCCGCCCCUCGGCGUGGUCGGCUCUCCGCCGUGCGUCGUUGGCCGUCCCUUUAACAGAUUCAAGAAGAAGGGAACGGGCCGACGGGUUUUUGGAGCAUGGAUGUCGCCGUUGGCGACGGAGUGCCGAGUCAGCUGACGGAAGUUCCUCCGGCAGAUUCCUAUGUUAUCUCAAGCUAAGUCCUUAUUAUCUCUUAAAAUCAGGCAUUCUUAUGUUCUAGAGCAACUAUUUUCUUGAGGUAUUAAAUGGUCAACAUGAAAUUUCUAUCGGAUGCUAGAUUGGUAUCUUAUGACAGGGGCUGUGUUUUACUUAUAUGCAACAAUUCGGAUACUAUAUUUGGGGUUUGGGCUGAGGCUAUGUUUGCCUAUAUGUGAUGUUUCAAUAUGUGGAGAAAAAGAUGUGUGGAGUUGCUGGGUUCGCCUGCUGGGAUGGUGACUUAGAAAGGAUCUUCCUGUUAGAACUUACCCCACUUGCUUCUCUCUUACCCUCAACUCAUUAUAUUGUUGUGCAAAGUUUAAGUAUGUGGAAGGAGUUUUGGAGGUGGCGUGGGGGUUCUUAUAGGGAAAGGGUGUGUACUCGUGAGGCAUUAAUUGGGGCUGCUGUAUCCUUUGUUCUUUUCCUGCUGCAAAUCCUCUCUUUUAAGAUUUUGCAGCAACUUUAACUGAAAAUCUGAUGGUGUACUAGGAAGUAAGGACUCUUGAAAUUAUGUUGAUUGUUGGUAUUGCAGAGUGUACAAUCAGAGGCUCCCGAGAUUGGUUGGGGUUUAGGGGGCUGCUGCAAGCUGCUCCUUUUGCUUACUGCAGCGUCGGUUAUGGGGGAAUGGUCGUAAGAGCUUGCUGCAAUAUAACCUUACCUAUUUUGGCAAAUACUUUGGUUUUCAUUAAAAGGUGGAGAAGAUUGGCUGCCAUUGUUGUUGCGUAGCAGGAGGUCUGGCCCGCUGCUCUCGGUCGUGGGCUCGUUCGGGCCCGGCCCGUAGAGGGUGUGAUUUUUGGGCUCGAAAGACAAGGCCCAAAGUUUAGGAAUUUGUAGCCCCUUGGCCAUUUCUGAAAUUUGUAAUAGGAUAAUGUUUUCCACGCCCCUUUUUUAUUCACAAACCACAUGUAAAACGUCUAUUUCGAUUAAUGUAUCUUGUUUUCGAGCUCGGGAUAACA